rnacentral:tRNA from 1 species
GUUGGGGUGGCUGAAUUUUAGGCGCUAAAUUGUAAAUUUAGUCAUGAAUUAUUUCCCCCAUCA